AGAGUUUGAUCAUGGCUCAGAUUGAACGCUGGCGGCAGGCCUAACACAUGCAAGUCGAACGGUAACAGGAAACAGCUUGCUGUUUCGCUGACGAGUGGCGGACGGGUGAGUAAUGUCUGGGAAACUGCCUGAUGGGGGGGGAUAACUACUGGAAACGGUAGCUAAUACCGCAUAACGUCGCAAGACCAAAGAGGGGGACCUUCGGGCCUCUUGCCAUCGGAUGUGCCCAGAUGGGAUUAGCUUGUUGGUGGGGUAACGGCUCACCAAGGCGACGAUCCCUAGCUGGUCUGAGAGGAUGACCAGCCACACUGGAACUGAGACACGGUCCAGACUCCUACGGGAGGCAGCAGUGGGGAAUAUUGCACAAUGGGCGCAAGCCUGAUGCAGCCAUGCCGCGUGUAUGAAGAAGGCCUUCGGGUUGUAAAGUACUUUCAGCGGGGAGGAAGGGAGUAAAGUUAAUACCUUUGCUCAUUGACGUUACCCGCAGAAGAAGCACCGGCUAACUCCGUGCCAGCAGCCGCGGUAAUACGGAGGGUGCAAGCGUUAAUCGGAAUUACUGGGCGUAAAGCGCACGCAGGCGGUUUGUUAAGUCAGAUGUGAAAUCCCCGGGCUCAACCUGGGAACUGCAUCUGAUACUGGCAAGCUUGAGUCUCGUAGAGGGGGGUAGAAUUCCAGGUGUAGCGGUGAAAUGCGUAGAGAUCUGGAGGAAUACCGGUGGCGAAGGCGGCCCCCUGGACGAAGACUGACGCUCAGGUGCGAAAGCGUGGGGAGCAAACAGGAUUAGAUACCCUGGUAGUCCACGCCGUAAACGAUGUCGACUUGGAGGUUGUGCCCUUGAGGCGUGGCUUCCGGAGCUAACGCGUUAAGUCGACCGCCUGGGGAGUACGGCCGCAAGGUUAAAACUCAAAUGAAUUGACGGGGGCCCGCACAAGCGGUGGAGCAUGUGGUUUAAUUCGAUGCAACGCGAAGAACCUUACCUGGUCUUGACAUCCACGGAAGUUUUCAGAGAUGAGAAUGUGCCUUCGGGAACCGUGAGACAGGUGCUGCAUGGCUGUCGUCAGCUCGUGUUGUGAAAUGUUGGGUUAAGUCCCGCAACGAGCGCAACCCUUAUCCUUUGUUGCCAGCGGUCCGGCCGGGAACUCAAAGGAGACUGCCAGUGAUAAACUGGAGGAAGGUGGGGAUGACGUCAAGUCAUCAUGGCCCUUACGACCAGGGCUACACACGUGCUACAAUGGCGCAUACAAAGAGAAGCGACCUCGCGAGAGCAAGCGGACCUCAUAAAGUGCGUCGUAGUCCGGAUUGGAGUCUGCAACUCGACUCCAUGAAGUCGGAAUCGCUAGUAAUCGUGGAUCAGAAUGCCACGGUGAAUACGUUCCCGGGCCUUGUACACACCGCCCGUCACACCAUGGGAGUGGGUUGCAAAAGAAGUAGGUAGCUUAACCUUCGGGAGGGCGCUUACCACUUUGUGAUUCAUGACUGGGGUGAAGUCGUAACAAGGUAACCGUAGGGGAACCUGCGGUUGGAUCACCU
rnacentral:rRNA from 6 species